GAUGAACGCUGGCGGCGUGCUUAACACAUGCAAGUCGAACGGUGAACGAGGGAGCAUGCUCCCUCCGGAUCAGUGGCGAACGGGUGAGUAACACGUGAGCAAUCUGCCCUGGACUCUGGGAUAAGCGUUGGAAACGACGUCUAAUACCGGAUACGAGGCGUGGGGGCAUCCCCAACGCCUGGAAAGAACUUCGGUCCAGGAUGAGCUCGCGGCCUAUCAGCUUGUUGGUGAGGUAACGGCUCACCAAGGCGACGACGGGUAGCCGGCCUGAGAGGGUGACCGGCCACACUGGGACUGAGACACGGCCCAGACUCCUACGGGAGGCAGCAGUGGGGAAUAUUGCACAAUGGGCGCAAGCCUGAUGCAGCAACGCCGCGUGAGGGACGACGGCCUUCGGGUUGUAAACCUCUUUUAGCAGGGAAGAAGCGAAAGUGACGGUACCUGCAGAAAAAGCACCGGCUAACUACGUGCCAGCAGCCGCAGUAACAC
rnacentral:rRNA from 1 species